rnacentral:rRNA from 1 species
CGCUGGCGGCAUGCCUAACACAUGCAAGUCGAACGAGAUCUUCGGGUCUAGUGGCGCACGGGUGCGUAACGCGUGGGAAUCUGCCCUUGGGUUCGGAAUAACUUCGGGAAACUGAAGCUAAUACCGGAUGAUGACGUAAGUCCAAAGAUUUAUCGCCCAAGGAUGAGCCCGCGUAGGAUUAGCUAGUAGGUGAGGUAAUGGCUCACCUAGGCGACGAUCCGUAACUGGUCUGAGAGGAUGAUCAGUCACACUGGAACUGAGACACGGUCCAGACUCCUACGGGAGGCAGCAGUGGGGAAUAUUGGACAAUGGGCGAAAGCCUGAUCCAGCAAUGCCGCGUGCAGGAAGAAGGCCUUCGGGUUGUAAACUGCUUUUGUACGGAACGAAACGGUCCGCUUUAAUACAGUGGGCUAAUGACGGUACCGUAAGAAUAAGCACCGGCUAACUUCGUG